GACGAACGCUGGCGGCAUGCCUAAUACAUGCAAGUCGAGCGAACAGAUGAAGUGCUUGCACUUCUGACGUUAGCGGCGAACGGGUGAGUAACACGUAAGGAAUCUACCUAUAAGCGGGGGAUAACAUUCGGAAACGGGUGCUAAUACCGCAUAAUAUCUUCUUCCGCAUGGAAGAAGAUUGAAAGACGGCUCUGCUGUCACUUAUAGAUGACCUUGCGGUGCAUUAGUUAGUUGGUGGGGUAAUGGCCUACCAAGACGAUGAUGCAUAGCCGACCUGGGAGGGUGAUCGGCCACAUUGGGACUGAGACACGGCCCAAACUCCUACGGGAGGCAGCAGUAGGGAAGCUUCCGCAAUGGGCGAAAGCCUGACGGAGCAAUGCCGCGUGAGUGAAGAAGGCCUUCGGGUCGUAAAACUCUGUUAUAAGAGAAGAGCAAAUUGUAGAGUAACUGCUACAGUCUUGACGGUAUCUUAUCAGAAAGCCACGGCUAACUACGUGCCAGCCGCCGCGGUAA
rnacentral:rRNA from 1 species